rnacentral:tRNA from 1 species
UUUCUAAGGAUGGUCUUCAGAAGCUUGCUUCUAUCGAGCGUUUUAGAAACAUCAGUGGCCAACAGAUCGCCAGAUCGUUGAGCUGCAUUGGCGGGAUUUCGCCGUCUUCGUUUCUCUUUCUUCGCGGACGAACACGCGCUGGGGCUGCAGGCUUGCAGAUCCCUGGUCCUUGACUGGAUAUGCGUUAGGGGCUUGUAGCUCAGUUGGUUAGAGCGCGCGCUUGAUAAGCGUGAGGUCGGAAGUUCAAGUCUUCCCAGGCCCACCACUUUCAUCGAGUGUGCAUUCGUCUUCUGGUUACGGGGCCAUAGCUCAGCUGGGAGAGCGCGUGCUUUGCAAGCAUGAGGUCGUCGGUUCGAUCCCGUCUGGCUCCACCAGAUGGUUUGAUCACCGGGAUCCUGUGCCGUCGUCCGCGAAACAUCACUUCGCACUUGCUAGUCCGGAUGGACAGUAAGCUGCGUGAUUUCUGACAUCGUAAAGAGGAGAUCGAUCCGAGUUGGAUCGUGCGGAGAAUAUCCGCGCGAGACUUCAUUAUCUCCGGAUCAUUUCGGCGCUCGCGCGCCUUUCGGUGUAGCUCACAAGGCUGCGUCUGAAAGACAUGCGAGUUGUGAAUGAUCCUUUUAGCGAAGCUUGACCGCCUCGCUAUCGGAACGAUCUUACGAAGCAAGCUGGUCUUUCUAGUCAAUGUCCGGCUGCAGAUAGCGUUCAUCGAGGGCGCGUGCCGCAAGGUAAUUCUGCAGACAACAUUCUGCCGAGUGUGUGGACAUUGAUAAUGAGAGCAAUCAAGUGCCUUAAGGUGUUCGGUGGACA